rfam:Streptomyces autolyticus strain CGMCC0516, complete genome.
CUUCACGGAGCCCAACCACAGCGGCCGAUCCGCAUCCCGGUCCUGACCAUAGGUGGCCAACAACGCCUGCGCCUC